GACGAACGCUGGCGGCGUGCUUAACACAUGCAAGUCGAACGGAAAGGCCUGCUUUCCCUUGUGGAUUGCGGGUACUCGAGUGGCGAACGGGUGAGUAACACGUGAGUGAUCUGCCCCCAACUUGGGUAUAAGCCUGGGAAACUGGGUCUAAUUCCCGAUAGGACUGCAGGGUGGUGCCUGUGGUGGAAAACGAUUUUCUAGUGGUUGGGGAUGAGCUCGCGGCCUAUCAGCUUGUUGGUGGGGUAAUGGCCUACCAAGGCGGCGACGGGUAGCCGGCCUGAGAGGGUGGACGGCCACAUUGGGACUGGGAGACGGCCCAGACUCCUACGGGAGGCAGCAGUGGGGAAUCUUGCACAAUGGGCGGAAGCCUGAUGCAGCGACGCCGCGUGGGGGAUGACGGCCUUCGGGUUGUAAACUCCUUUCGACCGCGAGGAAGCCACCUGGUUGGAAGGGUGGUGACGGUAGUGGUAGAAGAAGCACCGGCUAACUACGUG
rnacentral:rRNA from 1 species